rnacentral:tRNA from 1 species
GGGGUCGUAGUUAAAUUAACAUUUAUAUUGCAAGUAAAAAAUACUAGAUCAAACUAGUCCUCCUCA